rnacentral:rRNA from 1 species
AAGAGAAGGAGCUUGCUCCUUUGACGUUAGCGGCGGACCGUUGAGUAACACGUGGGCAACCUACCUUAUAGUUUGGGAUACCUCCGGGAAACCGGGGCUAAUACCGAAUAAUCUAUUUUACUUCAUGGUGAAAUACUGAAAGACGGUUUCGGCUGUCGCUAUAAGAUGGGCCCGCGGCGCAUUAGCUAGUUGGUGAGGUAACGGCUCACCAAGGCAACGAUGCGUAGCCGACCUGAGAGGGUGAUCGGCCACACUGGGACUGAGACACGGCCCAGACUCCUACGGGAGGCAGCAGUAGGGAAUCUUCCACAAUGGGCGAAAGCCUGAUGGAGCAACGCCGCGUGAGUGAAGAAGGUUUUCGGAUCGUAAAACUCUGUUGUAAGGGAAGAACAAGUACAGUAGUAACUGGCUGUACCUUGACGGUACCUUAUUAGAAAGCCACGGCUAACUACGUGCCAGCAGCCGCGGUAAUACGUAGGUGGCAAGCGUUGUCCGGAAUUAUUGGGCGUAAAGCGCGCGCAGGCGGUCCUUUAAGUCUGAUGUGAAAGCCCACGGCUCAACCGUGGAGGGUCAUUGGAAACUGGGGGACUUGAGUGCAGAAGAGGAAAGUGGAAUUCCAAGUGUAGCGGUGAAAUGCGUAGAGAUUUGGAGGAACACCAGUGGCGAAGGCAACUUUCUGGUCUGUAACUGACGCUGAGGCGCGAAAGCGUGGGGAGCCAACAGGAUUAGAUACCCUGGUAGUCCACGCCGUAAACCAUGAGUGCUAAGUGUUAGGGCGUUUCCCCCCCUUAGUGCUGCAACUAACGCAUUUAACCACUCCGCCCGGGGAACACGGGUCGCAAGACUGGAAAUCAAAGGAAUUGACGGGCGCCCGCACAAGCGGUGGAAACUUGUGUUUUAUUUCAACCCCCCCCCAAAAACUUUCCCCGGCCCUUGAAUCCCUUUGACCUUUGAAAAAAUAUGGUUUUCCUUUUCGGGGACAACGGCCACAGGGGGGGGG